GAUGAAGAAUGUAGCGAAAUGCGAUAAGUAAUGUGAAUUGCAGAAUUCCGUGAAUCAUCGAAUCUUUGAACGCACAUUGCGCCCCCUGGCAUUCCGGGGGGCAUGCCUGUCCGAGCGUCAUUUCUGCCCUCAAGCACGGCUUGUGUGUUGGGUGUGGUCCCCCCGGGGACCUGCCCGAAAGGCAGCGGCGACGUCCGUCUGGUCCUCGAGCGUAUGGGGCUCUGUCACUCGCUCGGGAAGGACCUGCGGGGGUUGGUCACCACUAUAUUUUACCACGGUUGACCUCGGAUCAGGUAGGAGUUACCCGCUGAACUUAAGCAUAUCAAUAAGCGGAGGA
rnacentral:misc_RNA from 1 species